UUACUAUAGCUUGACACUGAACAUUGAGCCUUGAUGUGUAGGAUAGGUGGGAGGCUUUGAAGUGUGGACGCCAGUCUGCAUGGAGCCGACCUUGAAAUACCACCCUUUAAUGUUUGAUGUUCUAACGUUGGCCCCUAAUCGGGGUUGCGGACAGUGUCUGGUGGGUAGUUUGACUGGGGCGGUCUCCUCCUAAAGAGUAACGGAGGAGCACGAAGGUUGGCUAAUCCUGGUCGGACAUCAGGAGGUUAGUGCAAUGGCAUAAGCCAGCUUGACUGCGAGCGUGACGGCGCGAGCAGGUGCGAAAGCAGGUCAUAGUGAUCCGGUGGUUCUGAAUGGAAGGGCCAUCGCUCAACGGAUAAAAGGUACUCCGGGGAUAACAGGCUGAUACCGCCCAAGAGUUCAUAUCGACGGCGGUGUUUGGCACCUCGAUGUCGGCUCAUCACAUCCUGGGGCUGAAGUAGGUCCCAAGGGUAUGGCUGUUCGCCAUUUAAAGUGGUACGCGAGCUGGGUUUAGAACGUCGUGAGACAGUUCGGUCCCUAUCUGCCGUGGGCGCUGGAGAACUGAGGGGGGCUGCUCCUAGUACGAGAGGACCGGAGUGGACGCAUCACUGGUGUUCGGGUUGUCAUGCCAAUGGCACUGCCCGGUAGCUAAAUGCGGAAGAGAUAAGUGCUGAAAGCAUCUAAGCACGAAACUUGCCCCGAGAUGAGUUCUCCCUGACUCCCUGAGAGUCCUGA
rnacentral:rRNA from 1 species